CUUGAUGGAGCCCAGCCGCAGCGGCUGGUCAGCCGGGCGGUCUUGGCCGUACGUGGCCAGCAGCGCCUGCGCCUC
rnacentral:antisense_RNA from 1 species